AUGCAUGUAUAAAUAAAAAAUAAAUUCCUCCUGUACAGUGCUGUGUUGUCGCUCUCCCUGCUCAAAAUAAUUGUUUCUUAACUAUACCUGUCUGCUAUACACCUGUAGCAGCCAGGGACGCUUGGUCUCAUACAU